rnacentral:rRNA from 1 species
GGUCUUCGGAUCGGGGACAGCGGCGAACGGGGUAGGAUCACCUCGGUGACGUACCCCCCGAACGGGGAUAGCGGCGGGAAACUGCCGGUAAUACCCGAUGAUCUUCCCAGGCUUUGGGGCAGGGGAAGCAAAGGUGAGAUUCCGUCGGGGGAGCGGCUGAGGCCGUAUUAGCUGGUUGGUAGGGUAACGGCCUACCAAGGCGAUGAUGCGUAGGGGGUGUGAGAGCAUGGCCCCCACCACUGGCACUGAGACACUGGCCAGACACCUACGGGUGGCUGCAGUCGAGAAUCUUCGGCAAUGGGCGCAAGCCUGACCGAGCGACGCCGCGUGCGGGAUGAAGGUCUUCGGAUUGUAAACCGCUGUCGGAGGGGAUGAAGUGCAUCAGGGUUCUCCCUGGUGUUUGACAGAGCCUCGGAGGAAGCACGGGCUAAGUUCGUGCCAGCAGCCGCGGUAAUACGAACUGUGCGAACGUUAUUCGGAAUCACUGGGCUUAAAGGGUGCGUAGGCGGCGGCACAAGUCAGGUGUGAAAUCCCCCGGCUCAACCGGGGAACAGCGCUUGAAACUAGGUCGCUCGAGUGAGGCAGGGGUGCAUGGAACUUCCGGUGGAGCGGUGAAAUGUGUAGAUAUCGGAAGGAACGCCGGCGGCGAAAGCGGUGCACUGGGCCUUGUCUGACGCUGAGGCACGAAAGUUAGGGGAGUGAACGGGAUUAGAUACCCCGGAAAUCCUAGCCGUAAACACUGAGCACUGGAGGGGAGGGGCUUCGGCCUUUUCCCUCGCAGCGAAAGCGUUAAGUGCUCCGCCUGGGGAGUAUGGUCGCAAGGCUGAAACUCAAAGGAAUUGACGGGGGCUCACACAAGCGGUGGAGCAUGUGGGCUUAAUUCGAGGCAACGCGAAGAACCUUAUCCUGGAUUUGACAUGGUCGGAUUAGUUCCCUGAAAGGGGAAUGACGCCUUCGG